rnacentral:rRNA from 1 species
AUUGAACGCUGGCGGCAGGCCUAACACAUGCAAGUCGAACGAGUGGCGGACGGGUGAGUAAUGUCUGGGAAACUGCCUGCUGGAGGGGGAUAACUACUGGAAACGGUAGCUCAUACCGCAUACAAUCAGAUGUGCCCAGAGGGGAUUAGCGAGUAGGUGGGGUAAAGGCUCACCUCGGCGACGCUCCCUAGCUGGUCUGAGAGGAUGACCAGCCACCCUGGAACUGCGACACGGUCCAGACUCCUACGUGAGGCAGCAGUGGGGAAUAUUGCACAAUGGGCGCAAGCCUGAUGCAGCCAUGCCGCGUGUAUGAAGAAGGCCGUCGGGUUUUAAAGUACUUUCAGCGGGGAGGCGUUACCCGCAGAAGAAGCACCGGCUAACUCCGUGCCAGCAGCCGUGGUAAUAC